rnacentral:rRNA from 1 species
GUGUCAGCAGCCGCGGUAAAACGUAGGAGACUAGCGUUAUCCGGAUUUACUGGGCGUAAAGCGUGUGCAGGCGGUUCGGCAAGUUGGAUGUGAAAUCUCCCGGCUCAACUGGGAGGGGUCGUUCAAUACUACCGAACUUGAGGGCAUCAGAGGAAGGUGGAAUUCCGGGUGUAGUGGUGAAAUGCGUAGAUAUCCGGAGGAACACCAGUGGCGAAGGCGGCCUUCUGGGAUGCUCCUGACGCUCAGACACGAAAGCUAGGGGAGCGAACGGGAUUAGAAACCCCGGUAGUCC